rnacentral:tRNA from 1 species
GCAUCAGUGGUUUAGAGGUAAAAUCCAUCGUUGCCAUCGAUGGGCCCCGUGUUCGAUUCACGGCUGAUGCA